rnacentral:lncRNA from 1 species
AAACUACUAAUUAAUUAAAUAAUUUAAUUAAUUAUUUGUAACAAAAAACUAAUGCACUAAAUAUUUUUUAAUAAUUCUAAAUAAUUUUUUGAGUCUAAAAAGAUUAUACCAAGACCAAAAUCUGAAAUUCUGUCCGGAAACUAUCAAGGUCCGGAAAUCAGUACUACCAAUAGUGUCGGAAUUCGAAUUCCAAAGGGCCUAUGCGAAACUUGAGAUGCGUUGAAGCCAAAAAUAUCAAAAUCACAGCCUUGCCUUUGCCCGAAACUGCUAAAUCAUAGUGAGAAGGAAGCUGCUCCGAUGAGGCUCUCCCAAGGCUGUCGGCGGAGGAACGGGGAUGGGAAGGAGCUGACCUUGGGUUAUCAAUGGUGGGGAGUACGAUUUCGUCGUAGGAUUUGCAAGAAGAGGACGGCAGGUGGUUGUUUCGGUGGCGGCAGCAAGAAAGGAGCUUCCCUUCUUCAAGCUCAACGUCAAACUGCACGGAAAGAAAAAGAGGAAGACGGCAUCGGCGAGAGGAAGGGAAAGAAAAAGUUUGCGGUGGCUGGAAGGAGGUGGCAGGCGGCGGAAAUAGGAGGAAGUGGUGGGAAGAGGCGGUGUUGGUGUCAGGGGGAAGAAGGAAGAAGGGAGGCAGGGGCCCUAAUGCAAU